UUCAAAUCCUCACAUUUGAAGAGUAUGUGAGCUGCAAUUUCGGGUCCCUUUUGUAAAGUUGACAAUCUUCACCACUGUCAAAAAAAGAAAAAAUUGACAAUCUUCACAAUUCGGCCACCCGCGUCUUUGAGGCCUAUCGGCUGUACACACCCGGUCUUGUAAAGCGAAAAGCUUGCAUUAUAGGCCACAGUCACCUGUAGAAAAUGAAAGUAAUAAGAAAGUAGGGGUUCGGAUGUGACUAUCUUGAUCCGACGGUGCAGGAAGCGAUCGGUAGAUCGGAAACGCAUUUUCCCUUUUCCCCUGAUAAUUUCAGAAGAAGAAAAAAUAUCGAAAAAAAGAGCAAAGCGGGGGCAGGAAACGGCGGCAGCGGAGAAGAAGAAAUCAGGAUGCGGCUCUCCUUCCCACUCGUGGCUGGCGCCGUCGUGGUUGGAGUGAUUUCUGGGAAUGUGAUAUUUGGGCCACCUCUUCAGAAGUACUGGGCAGAGAAGCAGCAGCAAGAUCAGGCAACAAAAGAAGACCAAACUGAGUCGACUUAACAAAAAUGUCUUCAGUUUUCGCUGAGUCAAUGUUUCCAUACUUCCAUCGAUCAGUCGCGGACACAGGGUGCUGAAACUUAUACUGUACGAUGAUGUGAGAUGUAACUGGUUACAAUGAUAGCCACAGUUUUUGUUAGCAUUGUUCGAAUCAGCUGAUUUAGGUUUUCUACUGGGAUGUAUUAUUUGUAUCAUAGACAGAAUAAACUAGAAUCAAGCCAUCAUUCAGAAUUUAUGAUCAAA